rnacentral:rRNA from 1 species
UACGUAGGGAGCGAGCGUUGUCCGGAAUUACUGGGUGUAAAGGGUGCGUAGGCGGGGGACCAAGUCAGGUGUGAAAACUAUCGGCUUAACCGGUAGCCUGCACUUGAAACUGGCCCUCUUGAGUGAAGUAGAGGCAGGCGGAAUUCCCGGUGUAGCGGUGAAAUGCGUAGAGAUCGGGAGGAACACCAGUGGCGAAGGCGGCCUGCUGGGCUUUAACUGACGCUGAGGCACGAAAGCAUGGGUAGCAAACAGGAUUAGAUACCCUGGUAGUCCAUGCCGUAAACGAUGAUUACUAGGUGUGGGUGGUCUGACCCCAUCCGUGCCGGAGUUAACACAAUAAGUAAUCCACCUGGGGAGUACGGCCGCAAGGUUGAA